CGCAGUUUGUGGAGUGAGGAGUGAUGGCUUGAAACCGGGGCUGUUCUUAAAAGUCCUGCUUCCUAUAUUGCAGGUGGGUUCUCCUCUCCGUGAUGGCUGCAGAGAUGAGACAGAGAAGAAACCGAGUCAAGGUCGGGUUGGAGAUCCUGGAAAAAACUGUUCAAGCAGGCUGCAUUUUGAAUUCAUUUUGACUUCCCUCCAAAGCUUCAGAGCACAGAUUCACGAGCACUGCGCAGCAUGGACUCUCGCUCAUCCACUUGAAGCUUAACUGGACUUUUAAAACAGACGGUUGACAAGCAAACACACAUGCAGCAGUCUGAGUGACAAUGUUCGCAUUGUUUGCCGGCGUCGAGAUGUGAAGGUCCUGCACCCAACUGUGAGUUAACUGUACAUUAGAGGCUAAAGAAUCGAAGUUUUUAAAUCACACCACAAACACGGUAAGCGAAGAUGUCUGCUGUGCACAGCGGAGGAAGCAUGUUCCGAUCACAACAUGGAUAAGAAUCCACAGUGCAAUGACAAAAACACAGGACAUACAGCAUUACAUGUGACACAUAUUGGCAUAAAUUGAAUGAUCACAGAUCUGCUUCCUCUUUAGCUG